UAAGUACUCUAUCCGUCCAACAAAGGAUGUCUCAACUUUGACUAAAUUUGAAUGCAUCUAUACACUAAGUCAUGUCUAAAUACAUCCAAAUUUUGACAAACUUGAGACAUCUUUUGUUGAACGGAGGGAGUAUUUU
rnacentral:pre_miRNA from 1 species